CUUUAGUAAAUAUACAGAUUUUAUUUGGGUUUAUCCUAUGGAUUUAUAAGAAAUGUAAGGUAAGGGUUUGGUUUGGGCUUUUUAGCCUAGUCUCUUAGUUAUAAUCUCAGAUUCAAGGCCUGGGGUAUACAUGUGGAUCUGAUGGGAAUCCCAGCUUUCUGUCUUGGGCCAGAACAGAAUAUCCAAGACUUAUAAAAUAAUAGCUCUCUGGCUCCUCCAACAAGAUACUGCCCAGGUUAAGCGGCACAGAAAGGAUCUGGUAAGUCUGUUACCUAAUCAUACAAUGUCUUCAUUAUCUGGAAAGAAAACAGAUUGUGGGCCCAUUGGAACAGAGUCUCUUCUUGUGGUUUUUUCUUUUGCAGGAUUGCGUGUAGUGCUCACCUGCCCGUGUGAGUGGCUGCAGGAGCUGGGACAGAAGGUAAAAAUGUGCCUUCUCUCCACUCAGGAGAAUAGAGGAACUGAGACCGCCAUUUGAGGUGACCUACUUUUCCCACCUCUUAUGCCCCAGCUUUAUCAUUUACAGUUUCUCAUCACCCAUUUUUCCAUUCCCCCCACCUCUGUUCACUGGAAUGGGAUCACAAUGGGCUUCAGAUGCCGUAAGUGACCCCAAAUAAUCUCUGUGUUUUUCCAAAUUAUCCAGUGGCUGGUUGGCUGGUGAGUCACUUGGUGCUGGUUGUGAUCCAGCUGCUGAGCUGACCUGGCUGCAGGGUCAGGGCUUCUGCAGUGACUGGUCCUGAUCUUCUCGGAAAUCAUCUGGAUCCGAGGCAGAGCUGGUGACAACUUCCCCUCUUAGAUCAACUCCAGGUUGAGUUCAGCCAGCGCCUUCCUAGAGGCUGGGGCUG
rnacentral:lncRNA from 1 species